UACGGAGGGGGCUAGCGUUGUCCGAAGUUACUGGGCGUAAAGCGCGCGUAGGCGGGUUGGUAAGUCCGCUGUGAAAGCCCGGAGCUCAACUCCGGAGGGUCGGUGGAUACUGCCAGUCUUGAAGGUGCUAGGGGGAGAUGGAAUUCCCGGUGUAGCGGUGAAAUGCGCAGAUAUCGGGAAGAACACCCGUGGCGAAGGCGGUUCUCUGGGACGGUACUGACGCUGAGACGCGAAAGCGUGGGGAGCGAACAGG
rnacentral:rRNA from 1 species